rnacentral:rRNA from 1 species
CAGAUUGAACGCUGGCGGCAUGCCUUACACAUGCAAGUCGAACGGCAGCACGGGAGCAAUCCUGGUGGCGAGUGGCGAACGGGUGAGUAAUACAUCGGAACGUGCCCAAUCGUGGGGGAUAACGCAGCGAAAGCUGUGCUAAUACCGCAUAAGAUCUACGGAUGAAAGCAGGGGAUCGCAAGACCUUGCGCGAAUGGAGCGGCCGAUGGCAGAUUAGGUAGUUGGUGAGGUAAAGGCUCACCAAGCCUUCGAUCUGUAGCUGGUCUGAGAGGACGACCAGCCACACUGGGACUGAGACACGGCCCAGACUCCUACGGGAGGCAGCAGUGGGGAAUUU